UGCCCGUAGCCACUUCCUUGCCUGCCUUGCCAGCCGAUUGCCCUUCUCCAGACCCAGCAGGUCUGGGUAGGGCCAGGGGUUCUGCAUUUCUAACAAGCCCCCUCAGGUGAUGCUGACACGGAUCUCCCCCUUUUUCAUCUGGACGUUUCUUUGGAAGACCACCUCUUUCUACUCCCCGGUCGUGUGGCUAGGGUCGGGCUGACCUUGCCCAUCACAUGCAGAGCUCGUGUGAGCCUUGGUCUGCCCAGUCUGUGCAGUCCAUCCGUGGGCCCCAGCGCGUGACUCAGGGGUGGAUGUGAGCCACAGAAGGGUCCAACUAGAAUCAGCUCUGGGACUUUGGCUGGAGCUGUCAGGAAAGAAUGACUCUCUACCUGGUUUCUGAGCUGGUGGAAUGGGAGUCUGAAGCUCCUGGUGACUGUGCGAGGCUCACAUGGACAGCCCGUCUGGGAACAAAGUCAACAAAGAGGGAGUAGAAGAGCUGGGAGCAGCAGAGAGAUUGUUGACAACAUUGUUUGAUCCCCUGGAUCCAGCCAUGCCUGAAACCACAGCCUCUGAACUUUAAAUCUACAUGAGCCAAUAAAUUCUCUCUUUUGCUCAA